AUGGGCAACUGUAUUUUCUUUAUUUUGCAUUUUUCUUAAAAAAUCAAAAGCCCCAUGACCCCAUGGUUGCAGUUGUAUGACUUUUCACUGUAACGUGAAAUCCAUUUAAACAAAAAGAACCUGAGCUGAAUCAAUAGAUCUUUAUCUACCCAUUCUCAAAUUAAAUCUUUCCAAAAAAGCAACCUUGCCAGGGAUAGACUGCAAUGUACUUGGUCAUAUUAAUGUAAACACAAGCAAUGUAGCUCCAAAGAUAAAUGCAUACUUUGAAAAAAAUACAAUUUUAAUGCUCUUUUUAAAUGACAAAAUAUUGAAAAUAGUUUCAUUUUUUUUAGAGUGACAGGAUAUAGCACAGUAUUAUAUUGACUGGUCAUUUCACAAGUCUUUAAAGGCCCUUCACUCGACCAUGGAUACUCAAACCAAUCUAGCUAAUGGUAUAAAAGUACAGUACAAAUGCAAAAGGUGUAAAAAUAAUGAGAACUGAAGAAUGACUUGUAGAAUCAGUUAAAGCUGCCAGACAGUAUAUAAGUCUCAAAGUCCGAAAGCAUCCCCCUAACCCCCACAAAGCUCUAACCAUUUAACAAUCUCACCAUAAUAUUUAACCUUUACCCUAUCAUGAAAGCUCCCCAACACACUAGUCACAUGACCCGGUGCUGUCCAUUUGACCUAUAGCUCCUCCCCCUAGAUGCUCCAUGACGGAAACAACCUAGUUAGCGUCCGUAGAGAUAAUGUAUAAAACACAAGUAUAAUAUAAGAAUAUAUUUUUACUUCCAAGUAUAGAGAAGUAGACUAUUUAAAUGAAAGAUGCUUUUCACGUUACCACGAGGACCACAAUUAUUAAUUGAUACCGUUAUUUUGUUACAUUUAGACUUUGGUAACUCAACAAAAAUAUCCAGCUUGGAUCCUGAGUAACAUAAACUUCUGGAUCAGACCUUCCAGAACCAUAAUCUAAUUUUCAAAAAAUACAUUUACUGUUACUAGCUUUUUACUGCUAGGUAUACAGCUUACCUUAUCGUCAAACUACAAGUUUUACAAUUCUCUAGUAAACCUUUAGAGGUACAUCCUCAACUUUAUGAAAUAUUACUCAAGCUUUUAUUUAAAUUUAGUUCAAGUUACGUUUUUUAAACCUAGAUUCACUUCACAAACAAGAAAACUUUAUAAGAAAGAAACUUUAGUACAAACUCCAGCAUAUUUUUUUCGUUUGAGGAAGAGGAGGGUCUCUACAUGACGCAGCAUGACUCUGCCUUUAGCACCCCCUGGAGGCGAACAGAGAGGAGGCGGAAGAGAGUAAUAAAGGAAAGUUAGUGAAGAAAGAAAUAAUCGUACAUAACUGACUAUAGAAUAACCCUAAGAAACCUAACCCUUAAUAUAUAAAUAAAUAGUACAUUCACAUAUAGACAUACAAAAAUAGUAAAUACAGGUGUCCUUAAAUAUAAGACAUGUAUACAUUUAUCAUUAGGUCCGAUAAAUAAUAGAUCAGAUAUCAUAAAUUAAUUCAUAA
ensembl:lncRNA